UUUUAAUAUUUUCAUUACUUUGUACUGCUAAAAACUGUCACGGUUAAUAAAAUAAUCAGGCAAUGACACGUGAUAUGUCACGUGUAUUUCAUGCUGAAAUACAUGAGCUAGUUUUAACAGUAAAAAUAGAUUAAAUUUUUAAUA
rfam:Gossypium arboreum cultivar AKA8401 contig_17299_1, whole genome shotgun sequence.